CAGUUACGCGUUUUUCACACGUGCGACGGAAAAGUUCAAAUCGUUUAAAUUUCAUAUAAGUGCAAAUAACCUUGACAAAUACACAUUAAAUCAUACACAAAACUGAAUGCUGUCCUUUUAUAAAUUUAGUUAUUUCAUAAGUAGGAUGUAAAGCGAUUUCAACUUUUACAUGCGUGUACGCACGUAUGAAAAACACGGAACUGGAGUGCAGCCUAAAGCAUGCUCGCAACUCAAACUACAGUUGUCAUUUGCGACUUAAUAUAUUAAUUUGCUAGUAAACAAUGUUAAUGUUAAUAGUAACACUACUAAGUCUACAGCUUUGAUAAAUGCCAUACUUCUACUUUGUAUACAAAUACAAUUAAAAUACACAAUUGGUUCUAAAGUUACGAAUCACACGAAAGAUGAGG